rnacentral:tRNA from 1 species
GCGCCUGUAGCGCAAUGGAUAGCGCAAUAGCCUCCGGAGCUAUGUGUACAGGUUCGACUCCUGUCAGGCGCA